rnacentral:rRNA from 1 species
GCGGUCUCCUCCCAAAGCGUAACGGAGGAGCACGAAGGUUAGCUAAUCCUGGUCGGACAUCAGGAGGUUAGUGCAAUGGCAUAAGCUAGCUUGACUGCGAGCGUGACGGCGCGAGCAGGUGCGAAAGCAGGUCAUAGUGAUCCGGUGGUUCUGAAUGGAAGGGCCAUCGCUCAACGGAUAAAAGGUACUCCGGGGAUAACAGGCUGAUACCGCCCAAGAGUUCAUAUCGACGGCGGUGUUUGGCACCUCGAUGUCGGCUCAUCACAUCCUGGGGCUGAAGUAGGUCCCAAGGGUAUGGCUGUUCGCCAUUUAAAGUGGUACGCGAGCUGGGUUUAGAACGUCGUGAGACAGUUCGGUCCCUAUCUGCCGUGGGCGCUGGAGAAUUGAGGGGGGCUGCUCCUAGUACGAGAGGACCGGAGUGGACGCAUCACUGGUGUUCGGGUUGUCAUGCCAAUGGCACUGCCCGGUAGCUAAAUGCGGAAGAGAUAAGUGCUGAAAGCAUCUAAGCACGAAACUUGCCCCGAGAUGAGUUCUCCCUGAGACUUUAAGUCUCCUGAAGGAACGUUAAAGACGAUGACGUUGAUAGGCCGGGUGUGUAAGCGCAGCGAUGCGUUGAGCUAACCGGUACUAAUGAACCGUGAGGCUUAACCUU